rnacentral:rRNA from 1 species
AGAGUUUGAUCCUGGCUCAGGAUGAACGCUGGCGGCGUGCCUAAUACAUGCAAGUCGAGCGAACGGACGAGAAGCUUGCUUCUCUGAUGUUAGCGGCGGACGGGUGAGUAACACGUGGAUAACCUACCUAUAAGACUGGGAUAACUUCGGGAAACCGGAGCUAAUACCGGAUAAUAUUUUGAACCGCAUGGUUCAAAAGUGAAAGACGGUCUUGCUGUCACUUAUAGAUGGAUCCGCGCUGCAUUAGCUAGUUGGUAAGGUAACGGCUUACCAAGGCAACGAUGCAUAGCCGACCUGAGAGGGUGAUCGGCCACACUGGAACUGAGACACGGUCCAGACUCCUACGGGAGGCAGCAGUAGGGAAUCUUCCGCAAUGGGCGAAAGCCUGACGGAGCAACGCCGCGUGAGUGAUGAAGGUCUUCGGAUCGUAAAACUCUGUUAUUAGGGAAGAACAUAUGUGUAAGUAACUGUGCACAUCUUGACGGUACCUAAUCAGAAAGCCACGGCUAACUACGUGCCAGCAGCCGCGGUAAUACGUAGGUGGCAAGCGUUAUCCGGAAUUAUUGGGCGUAAAGCGCGCGUAGGCGGUUUUUUAAGUCUGAUGUGAAAGCCCACGGCUCAACCGUGGAGGGUCAUUGGAAACUGGAAAACUUGAGUGCAGAAGAGGAAAGUGGAAUUCCAUGUGUAGCGGUGAAAUGCGCAGAGAUAAGGAGGAACACCAGUGGCGAAGGCGACUUUCUGGUCUGUAACUGACGCUGAUGUGCGAAAGCGUGGGGAUCAAACAGGAUUAGAUACCCUGGUAGUCCACGCCGUAAACGAUGAGUGCUAAGUGUUAGGGGGUUUCCGCCCCUUAGUGCUGCAGCUAACGCAUUAAGCACUCCGCCUGGGGAGUACGACCGCAAGGUUGAAACUCAAAGGAAUUGACGGGGACCCGCACAAGCGGUGGAGCAUGUGGUUUAAUUCGAAGCAACGCGAAGAACCUUACCAAAUCUUGAUAUCCUUUGACAACUCUAGAGAUAGAGCCUUCCCCUUCGGGGGACAAAGUGACAGGUGGUGCAUGGUUGUCGUCAGCUCGUGUCGUGAGAUGUUGGGUUAAGUCCCGCAACGAGCGCAACCCUUAAGCUUAGUUGCCAUCAUUAAGUUGGGCACUCUAAGUUGACUGCCGGUGACAAACCGGAGGAAGGUGGGGAUGACGUCAAAUCAUCAUGCCCCUUAUGAUUUGGGCUACACACGUGCUACAAUGGACAAUACAAAGGGCAGCGAAACCGCGAGGUCAAGCAAAUCCCAUAAAGUUGUUCUCAGUUCGGAUUGUAGUCUGCAACUCGACUACAUGAAGCUGGAAUCGCUAGUAAUCGUAGAUCAGCAUGCUACGGUGAAUACGUUCCCGGGUCUUGUACACACCGCCCGUCACACCACGAGAGUUUGUAACACCCGAAGCCGGUGGAGUAACCUUUUAGGAGCUAGCCGUCGAAGGUGGGACAAAUGAUUGGGGUGAAGUCGUAACAAGGUAGCCGUAUCGGAAGGUGCGGCUGGAUCACCU